rnacentral:rRNA from 1 species
AGUUUGAUCAUGGCUCAGGGAUGAACGCUAGCGGCAGGGCUUAACACAUGCAAGUCGAGGGGUAGAGGAAGCUUGCUUCCUUGAGACCGGCGCACGGGUGCGUAACGCGUAUGCAAUCUACCUUAUACAGGGGGAUAGCCCAGAGAAAUUUGGAUUAAUACCCCAUAGUAUAAUUGAAUGGCAUCAUUUGAUUAUUAAAGUUCCAACGGUAUAAGAUGAGCAUGCGUCCCAUUAGCUAGUUGGUGUGGUAACGGCACACCAAGGCGACGAUGGGUAGGGGUCCUGAGAGGAGAUCCCCCACACUGGUACUGAGACACGGACCAGACUCCUACGGGAGGCAGCAGUGAGGAAUAUUGGUCAAUGGGCGCAAGCCUGAACCAGCCAUGCCGCGUGCAGGAUGACGGUCCUAUGGAUUGUAAACUGCUUUUGUACAGGAAGAAACACUCCCUCGUGAGGGAGCUUGACGGUACUGUAAGAAUAAGGAUCGGCUAACUCCGUG